rnacentral:rRNA from 1 species
UACGUAGGGGGCAAGCGUUGUCCGGAAUUAUUGGGCGUAAAGCGCGUGUAGGCGGUCCGGUAAGUCGGCUGUGAAAGUCCAGGGCUCAACCCUGGGAUGCCGGUCGAUACUGCCGGACUAGAGUUCGGAAGAGGCGAGUGGAAUUCCCGGUGUAGCGGUGAAAUGCGCAGAUAUCGGGAGGAACACCAAUGGCGAAGGCAGCUCGCUGGGACGUUACUGACGCUG